CGUCCGCAGCUCUGAAUUUGACUUAACGUCGGUCAACUCCAAGUCAUAUAUGUCAAAAUUCAGGUAAUUCGCCAUGGCGGCGAUCAAGCUUGAUUUUCCGGUACCCGGUGGACCAUACAACAGGUAACCUCUCUUCCAUGCCUUUCCUACUUUCCGAUAAUACUCUCUCCUCUCCACAAAUCUAUCCAAAUCCUUCAUCACUUUCUCCUUUAUAUCAGAAUCCAUCGCUAGAGUGGUGAAAUUAGCCGGAUGAUCAAGAUUCACCGAUGUCCACUUUGUGGGUCUCGAAUACGACGAGCUUUGGGUGACUGUGAAUAGCUUCAAGGUUUUCUGUUCCUGUUU
rnacentral:lncRNA from 1 species